ensembl:snRNA U6 U6 spliceosomal RNA
GUGCUUGCUUUGGCAGCACAUAUACUAAAAUUGGAACAAUACAGAGAAGAUAAGCAUGGCCCCUGCACAAGGAUGACAUACAAAUUGGUGAAGCAUCCCAUAUAAGU